UCUACGGGAGGCAGCAGAGGGGAAUAUUGGACAAUGGGGGCAACCCUGAUCCAGCAAUGCCGCGUGGGUGAAGAAGGUCUUCGGAUUGUAAAGCCCUUUCGGCGGGGACGAUGAUGACGGUACCCGCAGAAGAAGUCCCGGCUAACUUCGUGCCAGCAGCCGCGGUAAUACGAAGGGGGCUAGCGUUGCUCGGAAUGACUGGGCGUAAAGGGCGCGUAGGCGGUUUGGACAGUCAGGCGUGAAAUUCCUGGGCUUAACCUGGGGGCUGCGCUCGAUACAUCUGGACUUGAGUGAGGAAGAGGGUCGUGGAAUUCCCAGUGUAGAGGUGAAAUUCGUAGAUAUUGGGAAGAACACCGGUGGCGAAGGCGGCGACCUGGUCCUUUACUGACGCUGAGGCGCGAAAGCGUGGGGAGCAAACAGGAUUAGAUACCCUGGUAGUCCACGCCGUAAACGAUGUGCGCUGGAUGUUGGGUGACUUAGUCACUCAGUGUCGUAGCUAACGCGAUAAGCGCACCGCCUGGGGAGUACGGCCGCAAGGUUGAAACUCAAAUGAAUUGACGGA
rnacentral:rRNA from 1 species